UCUCUCCCACUCGCUGCGCCCAUAUUCUCCCGCAACCCCCGCCCCGCGCCCCAACCUGAAUCCAGCCGGCCAGCCAACCCAGCGCGCCGGUGCCGCACCGGACCCCACAGGGACCCCGCGCGCCGCCGUCUCCGCCACCCAGCGCGCCUCCUUCACCGCCACCCCCACGUCUUCUUCGCCGCCACCAUCCAACGCACCGAUGCCACAACCACCACCCCACGAGAGGCACUGGCGCGCAUGAAUCCCACCGGAUCCCGACUGGAGUGGGCCGGCGACUUGCCCCUACCUCCCCUCACAUCCCGGAGACGGGCCACCCCUGCACCUCUGGGAGACGCGCAUCCCCCUGCCUCCUGCCGGUGCACCGCCUCCUGCACCUCCCGCCGACGAGCCGCCCCCUCCAGCUCCCUCUGACGUGCCGCUCCUCCACCUCCCGGUGAUGCACAGCCCAACCACCCCCCAGCAACGGCGCCCCCUGAUACCGGGCUCCCUUUAGCUGGCCACCGGAGCCGCACGCGGAGGAUUAGGUGAUGAGCGAGGUGCACCUGGCGGUGGCGGGCAGGUCAAGACGAGAGAAGCGAGACUGGGAGCGGCGACCUCGACGAAGAAGUCAACGGUGAAGUGAGAUCCCAAGGCCCCGGGUUGGAUACUUGGAUUAAGAGUGUUUUGAUGCGCUGGGGCUGUAAAUUGCCUGCACAAGGAUAUGCAGGGUGAAACAACCUACAAAAAAUGAUGUUACUGCCAUGGAGAUCGGUGUUGGGACAGGUCAAAAUGUUGUGUCCGAGAAGUUCAAGUAUGUUACUUUAUACGGUAUUAUUGAGAAGCUCCAACUGGUUGUAGCAGUGCAUUGAGAAACAGAGUGAAAAACAUCUAUAAAAGAUGGAAGUUCAGGAGGAUCAAAAAAGAAAAAGAAGAAAGGAAAAGCUCACACUUCUGUCGUUGAUAUUUACAGCGACAAACAAGUAACAAGUUCAUGUUUGUCAACCAUUGAAGUUCAUGUAUAUGAUAGCUGAUGAUUGCUGUGUGCACUUAGGGGAGCACAAAAAAAAUGCAGCUGACCGAAGGUCAUG